GAGCAGAGCUGGGAGCCUUCACUUGUCUUCACUGCAGAUAUUCUCCAUCCCACUUGCCAGGCCAGCAUGGCUUUGAAGAGAUUCAGAUUCGUUUUUUUAUGCACUUAGAGGAAUGGGGGCACUGAAACUGGUUACAGAUUGUCCUGCCAGUUGUGUUUGUCUGCAUUGCCCUGGUGUUCAGCUUGAUUGUGCCACCCUUUGGUACAAAGACAAAAGAGACACUGCACCUGAUGCGAAGAGUUCUGUGUUAGUGAAGAACACCACUGAUGUGUGUUGGAGACUAAAUGAAGGAAGAGACUCUGCCCUGACAACUUUGAAUGAAAUUCAAAUGUUAAAGUGUUUGAAUCUAUGUUGGGAUUGAGGGAAAUCUGACUAGGACAUGCCCAUGGGUAUUUAAAUUUUUCUCACCAGUCAUCUUUUGAAAGUUUGCACUACAAGAGGGUACUGUUACUAGUUUGGCUUUUCUAUUUAUUUAAGGAACGUUAAAGAUAACA